GGGAGGCUGAGGCAUGGGAAUCUCUUGAACCCGGGAGGCGGAGCUUGCAGUGAGCCGAGAUCAAGCCACCGCACUCCAGCCUGGGCAACAGAGCGAGACUCCGUCUCACAAAAUAAAUAAAAGCCCCGUCUCCAAAUAUGUCACAUUGUGAGGUACCCGGGGUCAAGACUUCAACAUAAGUUGGCGGGGGGCGGGGUGCAGGGCAUAACCCUGCCCAUGACAGCCCUGGUUCAUUUCUGAACUGGUUGAAGGCUGCCUCCCUCUGCCCUUGACGCCGCACCACCUUCCUGCCUGGAUCCUCUGCUCCCAUGUACUGUCCACAUGCUGCUCGAGGGCUCCUUCUUAUGCGCCACCUAUCCUGCUUCUCAGCCCUCAGUGAAGCCCAGUUCCUUCACAGGACGCAGGAAUCCCUCUUGAACCUGGCCCUACCUUUCUCGCCUGCCUGUGUUCCUUCCAUACUUCUUGUCUUGCGCUUGUCCCAGUGGGCGCUGAACUGCUGUGACCUGGCUGUGCUGUUUCCUGACUCGAUACUUCUGCUUCUAUUUAUGCCCUCACCCUGAGUUUUUUGCCUUUGCCUGCCUACCCCUUCUUCAUUCUUCAAAAUUGACAGUGAGAGGGAGACUUCUGUGGUUCCUUGAAUUCCAUCCCAGUUCUGGCUUCUGGCCCAGAGAGACUUGCAUGCAUGCACAGAACUCAGCACAGGCAGACGGCAUGCGGACAGAUCACAGCACAGCGGCCCUUUGUGAGGAACAAUGACAAUGACUUCCACCUCUUCCGGGGAGAAGCCCAGAUGAGGAGGAUGAAGUUGGCAAGAGUUCGCAUGCUAGCCAGUGCUCCAGGGUGAGGUAGCAGUGGUCCCUAAUUUCAAAUGGGAGUUAAAUUGGUCUUCCCAAAUCACUACCAUGGCCCAGUUGUUAUUUUAAUGGUGUUUUCCUCAUGGUUUUGUGUGGCAUGGUAGCAAAAUGUUAUUGAGUUGCCUUCAUU
rnacentral:lncRNA from 1 species